rnacentral:rRNA from 1 species
AUGUACCUAGAAGACUAUAAUUGUGCCCUAUGCUAUGAGCACACAGAAGAGACGAGUGUGCAUCUAUUCUGGGACUGUCCAUUUGCUCUCAUGUGUUGGCACUCCAUUGUUCCCAACAAGCACCGACGGAUGUCCACAUAUGAUGAGAUUCACCUAUGCCUGACAGCACUUGACCCAGAUUUUGCUAUGGACUUGAUUGUAAUGGGAUGCUGGAGUCUUUGGAUGAGCAGAAAUGACAAGAUCUUCAGAAGAGCUACACCAACGAUUGAUACUUGGAAAUUCUAUUUAAAGGAAGGCAUGGCAGAAGUAGAGCUAAGAGCUAAAGCAGACAAGGCAGUCAAGAUUCACACCUCGAUUCAGAAUAACCUUUAA